AUUGAACGCUGGCGGCAGGCCUAACACAUGCAAGUCGAACGAGUGGCGGACGGGUGAGUACUGUCUGGGAAACUGACUGAUGGAGGGGGAUAACUACUGGAAACGGUAGCUAAUACCGCAUACCAUCGGAUGUACCCAGAUGGGAUUAGCUAGUAGGUGGGGUAAGGGCUCACAUAGGCGACGAUCCCUAGCUGGUCUGAGAGGAUGACCAGCCAAACUGGAACUGAGACACGGUCCAGACUCCUACGGGAGGCAGCAGUGGGGAAGAUUGCACAAUGGGCGCAAGCCGGAUGCAGCCAUGCCGCGUGUGUGAAGAAGGCCUUCGGGUUGUAAAGCACUUUCAGCGGGGAGGCGUUACCCGCAGAAGAAGCACCGGCUAACUCCGUGCCAGCAGCGGCGGUAAUAC
rnacentral:rRNA from 1 species